GUGGCCUCAGCUGCGAGCAGAGUGGCGGUAGCAGCCCCUCUCAGGAGACCACCAGGUCACCUCUUUCUGUGGCCUCGCCAUGGCAACCUACGGACAGAGCUGCACGCGGCUGAUGUGUAUUCCUCCAUCAUAUGCUGACCUUGGCAAAGCUGCCAGAGAUAUUUUCACAAAGGAUUUGGUUUUGGGUUGGUGAAACUGGAUGUGAAAACAAAGUCAUGCAGUGGUAUGGAAUUCUCAACGUCUGGUUCAUCUAAUACAGACACUGGUAAAGUUACUGGAACCUUGGAGACCAAAUAUAAAUGGUGUGAGUAUGGUCUGACUUUCACAGAAAAAUGGAACACCGAUAACACUCUGGGAACAGAAAUCGUAAUUGAAGACCAAAUUUGUCAAGGUUUGAAACUGACAUUUGAUACCACCUUUUCACCAAACAUGGGAAAGAAAAGUGGUAAAAUCAAGUCUUCUUACGGGAGAGUGUAUAAACCUUGGUUGUGAUGUUGACUUUGAUUUUGCUGGACCUGCAAUCCAUGGUUCAGCUGUCUUUGGUUACGAGGGCUGGCUUGCUGGGUACCAGAUGACUUUUGACAGUGUCAAAUCAAAACUGACAAGAAAUAACUUUGUGAGCUACAGGACUGGGGACUUCCAACUACACACUAAUGUCAAUGAUGGGACAGAAUUUGGAGGAUCAAUUUAUCAAAAAGUAUGUGAAGAUCUUGACACUUCAGUAAAUCUUGCUUGGACAUCAGGUACCAACAGCACUUGCUUUGGCAUUGCAGCCAGAUAUCAGUUGGAUCCCACUGCUUCCAUUUCUGCAAAAGUCAACAACUCUCGUUUAAUUGGAGUGGGCUACACUCAGACUCUGAGGCCUGGUGUCAAGCUUACACUGUCCGCUCUGGUAGACGGGAAGAGCAUCAAUGCCGGAGGCCACAAACUUGGGCUUGUCCUUGAGUUGGAGGCUUAAUCCAGCUGAAAGAAACCUCUGGGAAUGGAUAUCAGAAGAUUUGGCCUUAAUAUAUUUCCAGUGUGACCAGCAGCCCCCUGCCGCCAAGAAGGUGAUCAAAUCAAAGGAUGAUCUAAACAAGAGCUGUAUUUUAAAUAUUUAGACAGUUACUUGUUAGCUGGUUUCUAGUUGAAUUGGUUAUCUAUCUAGUUAUCAAUGCUGCAGUCGUGCAGUCACCUAUACAUUAUUUAAAUGUAUUUAACUGUUAAAUGCGCUACUCACCAAUAAUGAAAUAGACCUUUAUGAAAACUGU